rnacentral:rRNA from 1 species
GACGAACGCUGGCGGCGUGCUUAACACAUGCAAGUCGAACGGAAAGGCCUUUUCGGAGGUACUCGAGUGGCGAACGGGUGAGUAACACGUGGGUGAUCUGCCCUGCACUCUGGGAUAAGCUUGGGAAACUGGGUCUAAUACCGGAUAGGACCGCACUUUAGUGUGUGUGGUGGAAAGUUUUUUCGGUGUAGGAUGAGCCCGCGGCCUAUCAGCUUGUUGGUGGGGUAAUGGCCUACCAAGGCGGCGACGGGUAGCCGGACUGAGAGGUUGGUCGGCCACAUUGGGACUGAGAUACGGCCCAGACUCCUACGGGAGGCAGCAGUGGGGAAUCUUGCACAAUGGGCGCAAGCCUGAUGCAGCGACGCCGCGUGGGGGAUGACGGCCUUCGGGUUGUAAACUCCUUUCGCCAGGGACGAAGCGUUUUGUGACGGUACCUGGAGAAGAAGCACCGGCUAACUACGUG